GGAUAGCCCAGUGGGAGGUCACGAGACUCUUAAUCUCAGGGCUGUGGGUUCGAACCCCAGGUUGAGCA